AGCGAACGCUGGCGGUAUGCCUAACACAUGCAAGUCGAACGGCAGCACAGUAAGAGUUUGCUCUUACCGAUGGCGGGACGCGGACGUGUGAGGUGUACAUCCGGAUCUAGUUUUUCGGGGAGGUUCACGUAGGUAAGCCUAAGCUAGUAUCGCAUCCGACGUACGGGUGAAAGCAGGGGAUCUUCGCGCCUUGCGGGAAUGGACGCGCGGAUGAUGGAUUAGCUAGUUGGCGGGGUAAUGGCCCAGCCAGGCGACGAUCCGUAGCUGGACUGAGAGACUGGUCGGCGACACUGGAACUGAGACACGGUCCUGGCGCCUACGGUAGGCAGCAGUGGGGAAUAUUGGGCAAAGGGGGGAAGCCUGACCCAGCCAGACCGCGUGGGUGAAGGAGGCCUUCGGGUUGUAAAGCCCUUUUGUUGGGAAAGAAAAGCAGCAGGUUAAGACGCCGCUGUUCUGACGGUACCCAAAGAAUAAGCACCGGCUAACUACGUG
rnacentral:rRNA from 1 species